UUUUUUUACCCUUCUGCUGCGCGGAACGAGACCGGAGCUGGCGCUCGGGCCUGCGCUGAGAGGAAGGCAGCCAGCGAUUUGUGAAGAAAUGGCCGUUGAAAAAAGCCACACGUUUUGGGUUUAAUUUUUGUCUUCCUCAAGGAUGGUGGGGAGGAGGACUGCAAAAUGCCGCCUCGCGUCAAGGCUUAAAAUGAACGCGCAGAGGCGGCAGUGCCCCUCGCCCGGCGGAUGAGGUGUGUCAGACCUGGGACACUUGCUGGAGUUACUGUUACCGCUCAUGUCCGGCGCUGCCGUGCCGCUGGAACUGGAACACCCCACGCUGACAGCCUUGCCGGGGCGAGGGAUUUCCAGCUGGACAUACCGAACUGGGGUGACUUUUAAAAACAACCUUUUUGGAUGAGCACAGGGGAAAAUGCUGAUGUUCUGGUGAAGGGUCCUUCAUUGGAGGCUGAUGAUCCCCACCGCCACCAGAUUUACUGGAAAUAUUUUAAUUGUGGGCUGUGAGUGUUUGGAGAAAGAGAAUGUCCUAGUCUGAAAGAUUUUCUGGUGUUCCUCUGUACAGGACAAAAAUCCCUUCAUUUCUAGAGGAAGCCUUGCUUGUCUGGCCGCUUCAGGAUUCAGCCAUACAGUUGGUCACAGCUGUAAAUACCCUGUGACAUACAAAAACACUCUCUCAGCUGUGGAUGGAUAUCAUUUGCACAAAGGGAUAGCAUCUUACACCAAUGCACCUGAAUCCUUCCAAGGCUUAGGAUUUCCCAAAUAAUGCUUUGUCUUUAAUACAGAUUUAAAAUGCCUCUCCCAAGCUUAAACAACUAGUAAAUUCGUGAUGUUGGAUAAAGCAAAGUCUGUUUUACAAGUGUAUGUAGUUUUGUUUGAAAGCAAAGAAACAAAGAUGGCACUGGAGAAUAUGGUAAUUCACUACUGGAAAUACUCAUAUCUGAUGGGUAGGUGCUCAUGUAAAUUUAAUGGAGACAGAGAAAACCAGGCUCUGAAAGAAAAAUGUAUUGCAUACAUUUGUUCCAAGUUAAUACAAAAGGUCCCAAUCCUAUAAUUGUUUAUGCAUUUACAACUUCAAGUUAUCCAUCUGAAAUAAAAGGAAAUAAUUGGUGUAGCAAAUGAAGUGUAUUCGUAAGUCUUUGUGCUUAAUCUAAUACGGUGUAACUCUGUAAUUCAAGGGGGAAAUAUUUAUCUUCUCUUGCUAAUAAACUAAACUUUAAUGUACUACCUGUUUGGAGUUCACAUAUCCAUAUGUGUGUGGACAUACAUACCUAUGAAUUCACAGGAAAAUGUGAUUCUAAAGUGACAAAAGGUGGCCUGAGAAUACAUCAAUCUGCUUCUAACGGAAUCUUACCAAUUCAUAUUGAUGGAGUCUUUCUGUGAUUUUAGUAAUUUAUUUAUGUAAUGACUGCUUUUCCUUAAUUGGUGACUUAGUGUGUAAAUACAAUGUAAAUAAUGACAUUUUCCUUUUCAAAUGCCAAUAGGGUUUAGGCAGCGGAAACAUCAUCUAAGGCACAAUACCUAUUUGACUACUGUUUCAGUCAGAAUUUUCCAGUGAGAAUGUCAUGGGACAAUGUCACACUUUUAAAAUCCCAUUCAACUAAAAGAAUUUAUAGAAAUUACUAUUUUGCCUGAGUACUAUGAUAUUAUUGUCUACCCAAGAAAACACUCAUUUAAAUCAUUAGUUCUUUUAGAAGGUGAUGUUGUCACAGAUGAACAAAUGAGGAUUUUUUUUUUUUUUCCUUAAAGGGAAAUUAAAUAUUUUUUAUUCCAUUAGGUAUUACUGUAACCCAUUUUUUUAAAAGGAAA
ensembl:lncRNA